AGAACAAGAUUAAUAGGAAACGAAAUUUUUUUGCCAUUUCAGAAAAAAAGAUAUCUUACCAUACAAACAGUUUUCUUUCUUUUGGAUAUAACUAAUGUUAGAAACAAACUAACUUACAACAGAUUUUGUCAUUGCAGCUGCAAAAUUAGGAACUUUAUACAAUACUAUAGUAGCUAGGAAUAACAUUUCGUUUGCAUUAAUUCUAUGCAUAGGAAAAAGGCGGUUAUUUUGGAAGAUGAAAACUUGUGGUGUUACACAAAAAUAUGGAUAAAAAACAAUAUCAAGGCAUCUAGACUACUGAUAGACGUUAUCUCGCAGAAAACUGAAAGGAGCAGCAAAGAAAGGACAGAACGUAAAAAUCAGCAACUCUGAUGAGAUGGUAGAAAGCAGAUGAACGGGAGAUAAUAAAAUGCAGAUGGACGGCUUCUUUGAUCGUGAAGAGUUUGCUAUUAGUUAUGGGACGAGGGCAUUCCAAGGAAAUGACAUAUAUGAGUCUUUAAAGCAGUAUGCCAUUCAUUGCCUCAGUAUAGAGAUUCAACAUUUAAUGAUUAUAGGAAUAACAAAGGUGUAGCUCCACACAGACACUGAAAAGGAAGGCAAAGAUGUUUUCAGACUGACAUAAAGCCCUAGUUUCUAAAACUAGAAAUAUAUUCCUAACAGCAAGCACGAAUAUUUCCAGAAUUAUUCCCCUUUACUUGUUUACCUGACAUUAC